rnacentral:lncRNA from 1 species
AUGGCUUUUUCUUCUCUCUCCCUUAUCCUUUUCUGCUUCAUCUUCAUAUCAUUCGCCAUCUCCGACGCCGUUGUUCCCCCCGCCGACACUUUUCGGUAUGUCAACCAAGGCGAUUUUGGAGAACUCGAUUCCGAAUACGCCCCAACCUAUCGUCCUCUUCCUCCAUACACCUCCCCUUUCCAGCUCUGUUUCUACAAUACCACCCCCGGCGUCUACACUCUUAGUCUCCGCAUGGGAACCGGACGUGAUGAAGCGGUCAUGCCAUGGGUGUGGGAUGCCAACAGAGGCAACCCAGUUGGCGAAAACGCCACCUUCUCAUUAGCCUCCGACGGAAACCUUGUACUCGCCGACGGAGAUGGACGGAUCGCAUGGCAAACCAACACCGCCAACAAGGGUGUCGUCGGUUUUGCCAUACUCUCCACCGGUAACAUCGUGCUUCGUGACUCCAAGGGUGGUUUCGUCUGGCAAAGCUUUGAUUCACCUACUGAUACGCUUAUGUUUGGUCAAUCUCUCCGGAUCGGAGGUCCAACGAAGCUCGUCAGCAGAGCUUCAACGACGAACAACGUAAACGGAGCGUAUAGUUUCGUGAUAGAGCCAAAAAGAUUGGGUUUGUAUUAUAAGAACAUGCUUUAUUGGUCUUCCACGUUUCCAUUGUUUCCGGAAUUGAACCAACCAAAUGUGACUAUUGUUAAUGCGACAUUCGCCAUCGUGGAAACCGAAUACAAUAACGACUUUAACGCAAUUAGGUGUCAUCUUUCAAACUCUAAUGCUCAACCUUUUUUGGACAUGGACAUACUCCGAUUCAAUAACACGUUAUCCUAUAUCCGAUUAGGCAUCGAUGGGAACUUACGACUCUACUCUUAUCGUCCUCCGAAUAUCCGUUUUAGCCAAUGGCGUAUCGUGUUCAGAUUGUUCGAUAAUAUGGAGACCACGAGGCGGGGUUUAUAUGAAGACGAGUGCCAACUGCCUGAACGCUGCGGCAAGUUUGGGCUGUGUGAGGACAGCCAGUGUGUUGGGUGUCCGUCGCCGGAGGGUGUUUUUGCGUGGAGCAAAAACUGCAAUGCGAAGACGCCGUCUUGUAAAGCGGGUGGUUCUCGUUACUACCAGCUGAAAGGAGUCGACCAUUUCACUUCUAAAUACUCUCCGGGGAGUGGGCCGAUGAAACAGAAAGAUUGCGAGAGUAAAUGCACAAAGGACUGUAAGUGUAUGGGGUAUUUCUAUCGCACUGAUCUAUCGAGGUGUUGGAUCGCUAACGAGUUAAAAACUUUGACGAGGGUUGGGAACUCGACUCAUUUGGCGUACAUCAAAACACCCAUCCAGUAGUUGGAUAAGUCUACUAGGAAAGAGGGAAUAAGGAAGAUGAAAGAUUUGAAGAAAUAGCACUGUUUACUUGCUUUUCUAUAUUUUUACCUUCCAUUGUCUGUUUGUAUCGAAAUCAAAGAGACUAUGUGGUUGUAUAUUUUUUAAGAUGUAAAACGCUUCGGUAUGCAUAACACAUUUGCAGUAGAAUAAAUGUGUUUACAGUCUACAAGUGGACAAAAUAUUUACAGUUUAAAUAAAGUUUUUUUAAUAAUUAUAAAAAAUAAAAUUAAAAAUUGUUUCAAUAAUUACAAGAACGUAUAAACUGCAAAAUAUGAUUAUCUUGCGGAUUACCAUUUUUUUAUAAUUAUUGAAAAAAAUCUUUUAAUUUUAAUUUUGUUUACUUUAUCUUUUUUAUGUUGUAUGUAGAACUUAAAAAACAAUCAAUCUUUUCUUGUAAAUGCAAACAAUUAGUCCCCUUGUAGACUACCAACACCUUACCUAUUGAAGGCAUGUAUUUUUUCUAUAUGGUAUUUUAUUUUCUAUUAUGAAACAUGAAAUGCAAAUUUAAUUUGAAAAUCAGUAAAUCUAUAAAUAAUUUAAAAAAAAAAAAAAAAAAAACACUAAAAUUACGAUACACAAAAUUGUGUGUCGUCUUUAUUUAUGACAUGACCUUUCUUGACAGGGACUUCCUAGAUACGCAUUGCGUGUCAUAAACACGCGCUUCGUAAGGUUACGGCACGCAAAUGCGUGUCGUCUUCCUUUAUGACAGGGCCUUCCUUGAUACGCAUUGCGUAUCAUAACCGUGCGUCGUAAAUGCGCGUCGUCUAUAGAUGACGCGCAAAAGCGCGUCGUCUAUAGAUGACGCGCAAAAGCGCGUCGUCUCUCUUUAUGACAGGGCCUUCCUUAACGCGCAUUUGCGUGUCGUCUGAGCGUUUUACGAUGCGCAAUGAGCGUCGUAAAAGGCUGUUUUUUAGUGCGAUAAAGGGUCGGCCUUGGUGCCGUAGACCCUGUCGAUAUAGUGAGGAUAACCCACCUCGCGACUUUCGAAACUCUAAACUGAAGAAGCAGAUGCCCGAACCACCGUCUCACCAAAGAUCCUGAACUAUCCAAAGUAGCAAAAUACACAUUAGACCAAGCACAAUAUCCUUCCAAGGGUAAAUUGACCAAUUUACCCUUAACUCAAUUUGGUCCAUGACUAAGGUCCAUAAUGAAAAUAUGAAAGGCCCAACACUAGGUAAGCUCUCAAGCCUAUUAAUGGUCCAAAGACCAAAAGUCUGAAGCAAAGCCCAAUAUUGGCCCAAUUUACUAAAUUGGGCCCACCUCACCAAAUGGGCCUAGAUCCAAGGUCCAUAAUAAUUAGUGAGUCCAAAUUACUCCAUCCAUAAUGUCCAGUCACAGCCCAAGCCAUAUUAGCCCAAUAACAACCCAAUCUCUUAAGGCCCAAAAUGAAAACUCAACAGAGGGAGUACGUUGGGCGUUCCCUUCUUGGUAUGCUGGGUGUACAACAAUGCUCGCGGAUUGGAAUCAGGACACAGACCCACUACGUUGGGCGUACUCCCAUUUAGGCAGGGCGUAACCUCGCUGAACUACAACUCCACAUAAGAUCUUAAUGGCUUAAGCUCUUAAGCCCAAACUUCAGAUCCAUAGACAAAAUAUGCCUAGGAUUCAUAAAGUCUCAAACUUUAUUACUUGGGACGUCCAUAAACCUCUUAACCCAAGGUCUUAAUCCAUUAAGACCUACCUAUAUCACAUAUGAGACAACCAAAGCCCUUGGGACCUCAUUUUUCUUACUCAAGACCUCUCCUAAGGUCUGAAAGGACAACUAAUCUCGACCAACUCGAAUCAUGCAUCAAGUUGAGGUUUUUGGGACAAGAAUGGUGUUAAAACUUCACAACACAAAGAUCUAUACAAUAAGAUUGUCAAGCCAGAGACUUUUUACCUCAAAAGGGCUCCAGAAGAUGAUGCCUCUCCAGAUCUACGAGCUCCAGCCGCCCCACUCCUUCUUUGACAACUUAUGUUUUCUUCUUCUUGGUUUUCCUUUGCCAAAACAAGCUUUCCAAGGUCAACACACCCAACAAUGGAGGUGGAACGGCUAUCUAGGGUUUUCUGAGGGUAAGAGAGUGUUUAUGGAGGCUAGGGUUGGAACCAUAAUGUUCCUUAUAUAGUGGUUGACCCUAAAUUUAGGGUUUCUGGAUGAUAGACGUACGUUGGGCGUACAUCCAGUACGUUGGGCGUACGUCGAGAGACCUCCGCGUUCAUUUACUCCAUUACGUUGGGCGUACCUAGCCAAACACGUGCAUGAAUGCUUGGCAUGCAUGGGACCCCUUUGCUAAACUUCCCCCUUAGGGACCAUUGUUGUCAAUAUCUUCAAUUUACAACAUAUCCUCCAUCCUAAGUUCGUUCCCGACGAACUUUAUAUCCACAUAAAGGGGCGCGAGAAGACCUACGCUUCUAGUGACACACCCCGACCCGAAAACCCAUUUCGAAUAAACCCAAUACCCAUAAAAAGACCGAAACGCCCUUACUCUUGAUCUCGGGAACCCAUAAAUAGAUAUUUUAAGAACGGAGCGUUACAGAUAUUGAUUGGGAUGUUGUACAAGCAUUUAUGGUUUUUGCUAAGGUGUUUUAUGAAGUGUGAAAUCGGUUUUCGGGGUCUUUGUAUGUAACUUUUCGUGCUUACUUUCAUGAUAUGUGUUCAUUGCAUAGCCAUAUUCAUGAAUGCAUUAAAAGUGAUGGCGGGUGAGUUCAAUGGCUAUGAAUAUGAAAGCAAAGUAUGAUAAAUAUUGGGAAAAUGCAGAAAAGAUGAAUUCUAUAUUGUAUGUAGAUGUUGUUUUUGAUCCUCGAUACAAAUUAAAAUAUGUCAAUUGGAGUUUGGAAGAAAUAUAACCUAUCGGUGAUAUUGCAUGUGACUUGAAAAAAAGUUAAAAGCCACUUUGAAUCGACUUUAUGUCUUUUAUUUGGAAAAAGAUCCUAUGCAUGCCAAAAUUCUUCUUCAAACAAGAAUCAUAACAAAAGAAAAGUUAAUGAGAAUCUUAACAUACAAGAGAAACGUAUGCUAAAAUAUAAGGAACAUUUGGAAGAUGAAAAAAAUAGGAGAAUUGAGUGAGCUUGAAAGAUAUUUGUCAGACAAUCAAGAGCCAAGUUAUGAGUCAUUUGACUUGUUGGAUUGGUGGAAGACAAAUAAAGCAAAAUAUUGUAUUUUGGGAAAAAUUGCACGCGAUGUCGUGGUUGUUGCAGUUUCUAUAGUUGCUUCGGAAUCCACAUUUAGCACAUGGGGUAGAGUUUUGGAUUUAUUUAGGAGUAGUCUUUCUCCUAAAAGAGUGCAAGCGCUUGUAUGCACACAAAAUUGGAUUUGGGGUGUGUUUAACAAAACUGCAAAAGUUUGUUAUGAAGAUGUGUUGCAAGAAAUUGAAGACCUUGAAGAAAUUCAAAAUAGUAAGAUUUCAGAUGUUAAAAAGUUUUAUAUCUCUUUGUUAUUAUUUUUUACAAAAUAUAACCUGUAUUUCAGGUUUUGCAAGCGAACUUAGUAUUUGCGCCGACAAUAUCGAUUGAAAGAUACUUUUCUUCUCAUGGUCUUAUAUUGAACUUUUGGUGUGAUGUUUUAAUAUUGAGUUUUUUGAACAAUAAACACAUAUGAAUUGGAUGACAUUUUGGAAGUGGAUAACAUUUUGGAAGUGAGCUUGCGGAUAAUGGAAAAAUAUUUGUGGUUUGUGUGUAUCGGUCUGAUGUUUGAUGUAAUGGAACAAUAUUUGUUAUUUUUAUUUACUGUUUUGGAUGGUUUUUAGGUUGCAUGAAUAGAUACAAAUGCUUGACGUAAUAGAAAGAUUUUAAAAAGUUUUAACAACUUUAAUAUGUUGUUUUUUUAACAAUUUUUUGCAGUUUUCUGGCAAUUUUGAUAGCUUUAAUGUUGUUUUUUUGGCAGAUUUUUUGACAGUUGUAACAAUAUAGCAGUUUUUUUUAACAAUUUAAUGUACUCGACAAAAAAUGAGCCUAAAAAGCCCAAACCGUGAAACUAAACCAGAACCAAACCGUUAGUAACAAUUUGAUUUUGUUUGGUUUUAAUUUUUAAACGGUUCCGCUGCGGUUUUUGAUCGAAAAAAAAAACUGUGAAGACCUCUAAGUAGAGGUUCGUUUUGUAUCAAUAUUAAUAAUAAUUUUUUAGUAGCUUCUUAUUAUCAUUAUAAAAUUAAUAGAAAAAUAAAAAGAAAUAAACACAAGUCAUGAUUACAAUAAUUUAAAAUAUAAUAUUGUUAUUUUAAAAAUAUAUUUUAAUUGCAUUUGUUUAUUUGAUAAUGAUAUCCAUCCCUUUAAUAAUGUAUACAACCGGGAUACCAGUAACUUAUGCACUUUCAAUAAAUUAACAUGCUUUCGGAAAAAAAAAUUGUAAAUUUGUAUUUGUAUGUAUAUAUACAUGCAUAUUUCCAACAAAGCAACACCGCUAACCAUGGCUUUUUCUGCACUCUCCCUUAUCCUUUUCUGCUUCAUCUUCAUAUCAUUCGCCAUCUCCGACGCCGUUGUUCCCCCCGCCGACACUUUUCGGUAUAUCAACCAAGGCGAUUUUGGAGAACUCGAUUCCGAAUAUGCCCCAACCUAUCGUCCUCUUCCUCCAUACACCUUCCCUUUCCAGCUGUGUUUCUACAACACCACCCCCGGCGUCUACACUCUCAGUCUCCGCAUGGGAACCAGACGUGAUGAAGCGGUCAUGCCAUGGGUGUGGGAUGCCAACAGAGGCAACCCAGUUGGCGAAAACGCCACCUUCUCAUUAGCCUCCGACGGAAACCUUGUACUCGCCGACGGAGAUGGACGGAUCGCAUGGCAAACCAACACCGCCAACAAGGGUGUCGUCGGUUUUGCCAUACUCUCCACCGGUAACAUCGUGCUUCGUGACUCCAAGGGUGGUUUCGUCUGGCAAAGCUUUGAUUCACCAACUGAUACUCUCUUGUUUGGUCAAUCUCUCCGGAUCCGAGGUCCGACGAAACUCGUCAGCAGAGCUUCAACGACGAACAACGUUAACGGAGCGUAUAGUUUCGUGAUAGAGCCAAAAAGAUUGGGUUUGUAUUAUAAGAACAUGCUUUACUGGGCUUCCACGUUUCCGGCGUAUCCGGAAUUGAACCAACCAAAUGUGACUAUUGUUAAUGCAACAUUCGACAUCGUGGAAACCGAAUACAAUAACGACUUUAACGCAAUUAGGUGUCAUCUUUCAAACUCUAAUGCUCAACCUUAUCUGGACAUGGACAUACUCCGAUUCAAUAACACGUUAUCCUAUAUCCGAUUAGGCAUCGAUGGGAACUUACGACUCUACUCUUAUCGUCCUCCGAAUAUCCGUUUUAGCCAAUGGAGUCUGGUGUUUAGAUUGUUCGAUAACAGGGAGACCACGAGGCAGGGUUUAUAUGAAGACGAGUGCCAACUGCCUGAACGCUGCGGCAAGUUUGGGCUGUGUGAGGACAGCCAGUGUGUUGGGUGUCCAUCGCCGGAGGGUGUUUUUGCGUGGAGCAAAAACUGCAACGUGAAGACGCCGUCUUGUAAAGCUGGUGGUUCUCGUUACUACCAGCUCAAAGGGGUCGACCAUUUCACCUCUAAAUACUCUGCGGGGACUGGGCCGAUGAAGCAGAAAGAUUGCGAGAGUAAAUGCACAAAGGACUGUAAGUGUAUGGGGUAUUUCUAUCGCACUGAUCUAUCGAGGUGUUGGAUCGCUAACGAGUUAAAAACUUUGACGAGGGUUGGGAACUCGACUCAUUUGGCGUACAUCAAAACACCCAUCCAGUAGUUGGAUAAGUCUACUAGGAAGAGGGAAUAAGGAAGAUGAAAGAUUUGAAGAAAUAGCACUGUUUACCUGCUUUUCUUAUUUUUACCUUCCAUUGUGUGUUUGUAUCGAAAUCAAAGAGUCUAUGUGGUAUACUUUUUAAGAUGUAAAACGCUUUGGUAUGCGUAACACAUUUGCAGAAGAGUAAUGUGUUUCCAGUCUACAAGAAAAAAGAUCGAUUAUUUAUUAAAUUCUACAACGACAUAAAAAAGGGUAGCUGCUAUUUGUAUACACCUCUAGGGAAUGAAAGACGAGAUCACAUCAAUCAUCGUGGUCUUUCUAUAAAUUUUAUAAGGUAGGCUAAAUUUUUUUUCUUAUUUUACCAUUUAGACGCCCUUAAUUAAUUUUAAAUUUUUUUUUUAUUGUCGCCAGAACAAAUGCUAUCAGAAAAGUUAAAAACCCUGUCGCAUGGUAUAGAUACAUGUGGGAUAUUAUUGGAAAAUAGAGAACAUAAUUUUUGGAGUUUCGGUUUUUUGGGCUAAAUUUAGGGUAGAGUGUUAUAGAUGAUUCCUGAUUGGUUAAUAAGGCUGGGGGAAUUGGAGUCACCGAAAAUGCAUUCCUUCUCCCAUCACAUAAGCGUCAUGUCAUUUUUUACCACUCAAAUGUGGUUUCUUGCCACAUCAAGUGUGUAGUGCCACACUUUUCAUUUCUUUUAUUUUUUUGUUUUUUUUAAGUAUUUUAAUUUAAUAAAACUUCCUUUUUUUAACUAUUUUAAUUUAAUAUAACUUAUAUUUUAAUAACAAAAACAUAAUUUUUCAUUACUUAAAAAUUAAAAAAAAAAAACACUAUAUUACGUUACUAAAAAAAACCCAUACAUAUGACAUUUAAAUAAUCUUAGAAACUUAAAAAACAUAAAUAAAAUAACUAAAGCAAACUACAUAAAGUCAUUCUCCGAGAACUCGUCUUCGGGGUCAUCCGGUGAAUCCAAAUUAAGGUUAAUGUUUUGAACCCUAUAAAUGUUUUCCAAGUCAUUGCGAAGAUUGUAAAAUGUUUCAGUGCAAUGUAUCUUUGCUCUCCUGUUUAUAUACUCUUCGCCACCAAUUUCUAUUGGCUAUGUCUCUGGUAUGGUUUCUUCUUCGUCAAACUCACAUAUCGCUUUUCCUUCGUCUUCAUUAAUCAUGUUAUGCAAUAUAAUACAUGUAUAUAUGAUUUCUUGAAGUUUUUCCUUGCCCAAAUAAGUUGUUGGUUUUUUCAAUAUGAACCACCGUUUCUUCAGAGCUCCAAAGGCACGCUCAACAUCUUUCUUAGCUCUUUCUUGAGCUCUCUUAAAUUUCUUUUGUCAAGAACCAUGUGGAGCUGAAAACGGUUUAACAAACACAGCGUACUUAGGAUAGAUUCCAUCGACCAGAUAAUAACCAUACUUAUAUGGCGUUCCACGCACUUGAAAAGAAGAAUCUGGUGCGAAUCUAUCGUAUAUGUUGUUAAAUAUUAAUGAACGGUUAAGAACGUUGAUGUCGUUAAUCGAACCAAGAGAACCAAAAAAAGCAUGCCAAAUCCACAUAUCUUGUGAUACAACUGCUUCAAGUAUGACCGUUGGGUGACCAUGAUCACCUCGGGUAAAUUGCCCAUAAUAUGUUGUAGGGCAAUUUUCCCAUGCCCAAUGGAGACAAUCUAAGCUUCCUAGCAUUUCAAGAAACCCAUGCACACUAGCAUGAUGAGCUUGCAAUUGCAGGAUGUCAUUACGUGUAGGCUUACGUAAAUAUUUUGGACCAGAAAACUGAAUCAUAGUUUUGCAGAAAAAAUGGAGACUGUCUCGUGCUAUCCUAGCAGACAUCCUAAAACUUUCGUCUAGCGCAUCAGGCGGAAUUCCAUAUGCUAACUGACGAAGUGUGCCCGUGCAUUUUUGUAAGAGAGUGAAACCGAGUGUACCUCUAGUAUCGUAGCGUUGUUGGAAAAAACUACACUCCCUCGUUACAUCGUCAACUAUACGUUCGAAUAAACCUUUGAGCAUUCUGAAGCGCCUACGAAAUACCUUGGUAAGUGGCAUUCUCUGCAAAAUAUUCUUGCACCAGACGUUGGUUGACUUCUUCACGAUUUCUGUAAAUAUAUCUUCGUGUUCUCUGUUGAGAACUUACAGCUGCGUUGUUACAUACAACGUUGUAUGUUUGUUCCGCCAUUUAAACACACGCAAUAGCGAUAUCAAAAAUAGUCUGAAAUUCUUCAGAAGAUGAAGAAGAUGACAUUUUUGAGAGAGUGGUGAUUUAAAUUUUUUUUUUUUUUUUUGAGAGAGAAAGGAGAUUGUGUUGUAAAAAAAAAGAUUAAGUUGAUAUGUAUAUAUAUAGAAAAGAAAAAGCAAAAGAAAAAAAAUUAAAUGCUCAACGUCAAUCCUUCCCAACUUCCCUCAACCAAUCAGAACACACGGUCUUAGAGAACCGCACUAUGGCCAAGAUUGUACUAGACCGCGGUCUGAAAACGGUGUUUCAAUACUACGUGGCAUAAAGUGCGGUCUGGAACGGUACCCGCACCGUGAAGCCUAAGUAAAGCAAACGGAUUUUGACGGACACACGAACCCGCGAUACUAGUAACUAUUACCUUUUCAUUAAAUUAACAUUCUUUCAUAAAGAGAAUAUAAAAGUCUAUAUAUAUGCAUAUAUAUCCGACAAGGCAACACAGUAACCAUGGUUUCUUCUCUCUCCCUUAUCCUUUGCUGCUUCAUCUUCAUAUCGUUAUCCAUCUCCAACGCCGUUGUUCCUCCCGCCGAUACUUUUCGGUAUGUCAAUCAAGGCGAUUUUGGAGAAUUCGAUUCCGAAUACGCCCCAAACUAUCGUCCUCUUCCUCCAUUCACCUACCCUUUCCAGCUCUGUUUCUACAACACCACCCCCGGUGUCUACACUCUCAGUCUCCGCAUGGGAACCAGACGUGAUCAAGCAGUCAUGCCAUGGGUGUGGGAUGCCAACAGAGGCAACCCAGUUGGCGAAAACGCCACCUUCUCAUUAGCCUCCGACGGAAACCUUGUACUCGCCGACGGAGAUGGACGGAUCGCAUGGCAAACCAACACCGCCAACAAGGGUGUCGUCGGUUUUGCCAUACUCUCCGAUGGUAACAUCGUGCUUCGUGACUCCAAGGGUGGUUUCGUCUGGCAAAGCUUUGAUUCACCGACUGAUACACUCUUGUUUGGUCAAUCUCUCCGGGUCGGAGGUCCGACGAAGCUCGUCAGCAGAGCUUCAGCGACGAACAACGUUAACGGAGCGUAUAGUUUCGUGAUAGAGCCAAAAAGAUUGGGUUUGUAUUAUAAGAACAUGCUUUACUGGGCUUCCACGUUUCCCGAAGUGAACGACCGAAAUGUGAAUAUUGUCAAUGCAACAUUGGAAAUCCAGAGAACCGAAUACGAAGAAAACUACUUUAAUGCGCUAAAGUGUCGUCUUUCAAACUCUGAAGCUCAACCUAAUUUGGACUUCGACAUACUCCGAUACAAUAGCACGUUAUCAUAUCUCCGAUUAGGCAUCGAUGGGAACUUAAGACUCUACUCUUAUCGUCAGAAUGUCCGUUUCAGCUCAUGGAGUCUGAUGUUCACUUUGUUCACUAGAAGGGUGAGCGAGAGGGGAGAGAUAGUUGAAGACGAGUGCCAACAGCCUGAUCGCUGCGGCAAGUUUGGGCUGUGUGAGGACAGCCAGUGCGUUGGGUGUCCGUCGCCGGAGGGUGUUUUUGCGUGGAGCAAAACUUGCAACGUGAAGACGCCAUCUUGUAAAGCGGGUGGUUCUCGUUACUACCAGCUCAAAGGGGUCGACCAUUUCACUUCUAAAUACUCUCCGGGGAGUGGGCCGAUGAAACAGAAAGAUUGCGAGAGUAAAUGCACAAAGGACUGUAAGUGUAUGGGGUAUUUCUAUCGCACUGAUCUAUCGAGGUGUUGGAUCGCUUACGAAUUGAAAACUUUGACGAGGGUUGGGAACUCGACUCAUUUGGCUUAUAUCAAAACACCUAUUCAGUAGCUCUGUGGUGCACGAGAAACCGGGAACAAGGAAGGUGCACUGUAUAGUUGCUUUUAGUAAAUUCUGACCUUCCAUUGUGUCUUUGUAUCGAAAUCAAAUAAUAUUCUUGUUUUGAUUUAUAAAAAAUUAGGUUAUAUGAGAUAACCGUUAUAUAUAAAUAAUAUUUAAAAUGAUUAAAAAAAUAUUUUUAUUAAAUUCAUCAUUUACAACCAACUUAUAAAAUAUAGCAGAUGUGCAAGAAAAAGAAAAAAACUUUUUUGAAAUAGUAUGUAAGAUGGUGCCGUAAAUAAUGCGAAUUAAUUUAAUAGAAGGAUUUGACUUAUAAUGGUAAGUUUAUCAUAAGAUUUAUGCUUAAAAUUUGAUUUUUUUUUUUUUAAAUCUAGAUGCAACCUUGGGAGGUUGUAAUUAAUUUACGACGGAAUAACAAAUCUAUUUAUAUAAACAAAAUGUAUUUUUAUAAACAAAACAUAAGUUUAUUAUUAUUAAUUUUAUCUUUUUUUAUCCACAUUGUGUCA